CUCCUGGGCACCAAUCCACAGCCGCAGGCAGACAAAGGCAGCAGGAAUGAAAUGGCGGCCAAACUACUGCAUCUCAGGUCCGUGGCUCCCUCCCAAAAACAGACGGAACUUGUUGGGAAGGCGCUCCUUCACGGCUUCCCAGGAGAACGCCUCCCUCAGAGGCCGGUCCUUAUGUCGUUGUGCCACCUGUGGACUAAGUGUCCAGCUUUCUAAAUGUAAGUUGGCUCUUAGCAGGCGGAAACACGUCUCAUACCUCUGCUGGCCACCUCGUGGCCUCACGGUAUAUGGCUUCGAGUUCCAUGAUGAAGGUGGCUUCAUCGAGUCCUGCCCCGGGAGCAACACCAAGCCCACCAACGCUGUCCACACGACUGUCGGGUGUGGAAGUCCCGGACGAUGAGCAGAGACGCAAGGCGACCCCUGCCCUCCCGCUGUUGGAGGCUGAUUGCAGAGACUGACCCUGUGGGAUUCCAGCUCAGCAGCUGAAGAGGCAGAAGGACGGAAGACAAGAUCCACCAUCUCCCGGUAGCUGAGGAUCAAUCUGGAGCUCCGGGGCCGGCGCUGGGGUGCAGCAGGUUUAGCUGUGGCCUGAGACGGCGGAGUCCCAUACAGGCACCGGUUCAAGACCUGGCUGCUCCACUUGCGAUCCAGCUGCCUGCUAUGGCCUGGGGAAGCAGUGAAAGCUGGUCCAAGUGCUUGGGCCCCUGCACCGCGUGGGAGCUCAGGUUGCAAUUCCAGUCUCUUGGCUUUGGCCUGGCCCAGCCCAGCCGGUGCUGCCAUUUGGGGAAUGAACCAGCAGCUGGAAGAUCUCUCUGUCUCUCUCUCCAUCUUUCUCUGUAACUCUGCCUUUCAAAUGAAUAUAAAGAAGUCUCUCUCUCUAUUUUUUUUUUUACAUAAGUGAACCUUAAACAGCCCAGUGCACUGACAACACAGGACGCCAGUGAGGCGGUGGAGCCACAGGAGGUCUCUCGUUGUUGGUGAUGGUGCAAACGGUGCGGCUGCUUUGGAAGACAGCUUGGUGGUGGCGUCCAAAACCGCCAUGCUCUCACCAUCCAACCCAGCAGCCAUGCACCUCGCCAAGCACCCAGAGCUGCUGGGGCCUUCCGUCCACACGAAACAACCAUGCACCUCUCCAAGCACCCAGAGCUGCUGGGACCUUCCGUCCACACGAAACAACCAUGCACCUCGCCAAGCACCCAGAGCUGCUGGGGCCUUCCAUCCACACGAAACAACCACGCACCUCACCAAGCACCCAGAGCUGCUGGGACCUUCCGUCCACACGAAAGCCGCACCUGGAUGUUUGCAGCAGCUUCAUCCAUAGCUGCUGAACACUGGGAGCAACUGGAAUGCCCUCGCAGGUGAAUGGAGAAGCAAACUGCGAUCCAGCCAGACAGCGGGGUGUGAGCUGUCAGGCUAACGAGCCACGAAAAGGCGUGGAAGGAAACUGUACAAUGCUGGAAAGCCUCCAUCCCGUGUGACUCGGGGGAUCUGGCGUUCUGGAAAAGACAAAGCUAUGAAGACAGA